rnacentral:tRNA from 1 species
GGUGACGUAGCUCAACGGAAGAGCGGUGGCCCGAAAAGCCGCGGCGUUGCUGGUUCGACUCCAGCCGUCACCACCA